rnacentral:rRNA from 1 species
UACGUAGGGAGCUAGCGUUGUUCGGAAUCACUGGGCGUAAAGCGCACGUAGGCGGAUGUGUCAGUCAGGGGUGAAAUCCCGGAGCUCAACUUCGGAACUGCCCUUGAUACAGCACGUCUUGAGUCCGGAAGAGGUGGGUGGAAUUCCUAGUGUAGAGGUGAAAUUCGUAGAUAUUAGGAAGAACACCGGUGACGAAGGCGGCCCACUGGUCCGGUACUGACGCUGAGGUGCGAAAGCGUGGGGAGCAAACAGG